rnacentral:rRNA from 1 species
UUAAGCGACUAAGCGUACACGGUGGAUGCCCUGGCAGUCAGAGGCGAUGAAGGACGUGCUAAUCUGCGAUAAGCGUCGGUAAGGUGAUAUGAACCGUUAUAACCGGCGAUUUCCGAAUGGGGAAACCCAGUGUGAUUCGUCACACUAUCAUUAACUGAAUCCAUAGGUUAAUGAGGCGAACCGGGGGAACUGAAACAUCUAAGUACCCCGAGGAAAAGAAAUCAACCGAGAUUCCCCCAGUAGCGGCGAGCGAACGGGGAGCAGCCCAGAGCCUGAAUCAGUAUGUGUGUUAGUGGAAGCGUCUGGAAAGGCGCGCGAUACAGGGUGACAGCCCCGUACACAAAAAUGCACAUGCUGUGAGCUCGAUGAGUAGGGCGGGACACGUGGUAUCCUGUCUGAAUAUGGGGGGACCAUCCUCCAAGGCUAAAUACUCCUGACUGACCGAUAGUGAACCAGUACCGUGAGGGAAAGGCGAAAAGAACCCCGGCGAGGGGAGUGAAAAAGAACCUGAAACCGUGUACGUACAAGCAGUGGGAGCACGCUUAGGCGUGUGACUGCGUACCUUUUGUAUAAUGGGUCAGCGACUUAUAUUCUGUAGCAAGGUUAACCGAAUAGGGGAGCCGAAGGGAAACCGAGUCUUAACUGGGCGUUAAGUUGCAGGGUAUAGACCCGAAACCCGGUGAUCUAGCCAUGGGCAGGUUGAAGGUUGGGUAACACUAACUGGAGGACCGAACCGACUAAUGUUGAAAAAUUAGCGGAUGACUUGUGGCUGGGGGUGAAAGGCCAAUCAAACCGGGAGAUAGCUGGUUCUCCCCGAAAGCUAUUUAGGUAGCGCCUCGUGAAUUCAUCUCCGGGGGUAGAGCACUGUUUCGGCAAGGGGGUCAUCCCGACUUACCAACCCGAUGCAAACUGCGAAUACCGGAGAAUGUUAUCACGGGAGACACACGGCGGGUGCUAACGUCCGUCGUGAAGAGGGAAACAACCCAGACCGCCAGCUAAGGUCCCAAAGUCAUGGUUAAGUGGGAAACGAUGUGGGAAGGCCCAGACAGCCAGGAUGUUGGCUUAGAAGCAGCCAUCAUUUAAAGAAAGCGUAAUAGCUCACUGGUCGAGUCGGCCUGCGCGGAAGAUGUAACGGGGCUAAACCAUGCACCGAAGCUGCGGCAGCGACGCUGAUGCGUUGUUGGGUAGGGGAGCGUUCUGUAAGCCUGUGAAGGUGUGCUGUGAGGCAUGCUGGAGGUAUCAGAAGUGCGAAUGCUGACAUAAGUAACGAUAAAGCGGGUGAAAAGCCCGCUCGCCGGAAGACCAAGGGUUCCUGUCCAACGUUAAUCGGGGCAGGGUGAGUCGACCCCUAAGGCGAGGCCGAAAGGCGUAGUCGAUGGGAAACAGGUUAAUAUUCCUGUACUUGGUGUUACUGCGAAGGGGGGACGGAGAAGGCUAUGUUGGCCGGGCGACGGUUGUCCCGGUUUAAGCGUGUAGGCUGGUUUUCCAGGCAAAUCCGGAAAACUAAGGCUGAGGCGUGAUGACGAGGCACUACGGUGCUGAAGCAACAAAUGCCCUGCUUCCAGGAAAAGCCUCUAAGCAUCAGGUAACAUCAAAUCGUACCCCAAACCGACACAGGUGGUCAGGUAGAGAAUACCAAGGCGCUUGAGAGAACUCGGGUGAAGGAACUAGGCAAAAUGGUGCCGUAACUUCGGGAGAAGGCACGCUGAUAUGUAGGUGAAGUCCCUCGCGGAUGGAGCUGAAAUCAGUCGAAGAUACCAGCUGGCUGCAACUGUUUAUUAAAAACACAGCACUGUGCAAACACGAAAGUGGACGUAUACGGUGUGACGCCUGCCCGGUGCCGGAAGGUUAAUUGAUGGGGUCAGCGCAAGCGAAGCUCUUGAUCGAAGCCCCGGUAAACGGCGGCCGUAACUAUAACGGUCCUAAGGUAGCGAAAUUCCUUGUCGGGUAAGUUCCGACCUGCACGAAUGGCGUAAUGAUGGCCAGGCUGUCUCCACCCGAGACUCAGUGAAAUUGAACUCGCUGUGAAGAUGCAGUGUACCCGCGGCAAGACGGAAAGACCCCGUGAACCUUUACUAUAGCUUGACACUGAACAUUGAGCCUUGAUGUGUAGGAUAGGUGGGAGGCUUUGAAGUGUGGACGCCAGUCUGCAUGGAGCCGACCUUGAAAUACCACCCUUUAAUGUUUGAUGUUCUAACGUUGACCCGUAAUCCGGGUUGCGGACAGUGUCUGGUGGGUAGUUUGACUGGGGCGGUCUCCUCCUAAAGAGUAACGGAGGAGCACGAAGGUUGGCUAAUCCUGGUCGGACAUCAGGAGGUUAGUGCAAUGGCAUAAGCCAGCUUGACUGCGAGCGUGACGGCGCGAGCAGGUGCGAAAGCAGGUCAUAGUGAUCCGGUGGUUCUGAAUGGAAGGGCCAUCGCUCAACGGAUAAAAGGUACUCCGGGGAUAACAGGCUGAUACCGCCCAAGAGUUCAUAUCGACGGCGGUGUUUGGCACCUCGAUGUCGGCUCAUCACAUCCUGGGGCUGAAGUAGGUCCCAAGGGUAUGGCUGUUCGCCAUUUAAAGUGGUACGCGAGCUGGGUUUAGAACGUCGUGAGACAGUUCGGUCCCUAUCUGCCGUGGGCGCUGGAGAACUGAGGGGGGCUGCUCCUAGUACGAGAGGACCGGAGUGGACGCAUCACUGGUGUUCGGGUUGUCAUGCCAAUGGCACUGCCCGGUAGCUAAAUGCGGAAGAGAUAAGUGCUGAAAGCAUCUAAGCACGAAACUUGCCCCGAGAUGAGUUCUCCCUGACUCCUUGAGAGUCCUGAAGGAACGUUGAAGACGACGACGUUGAUAGGCCGGGUGUGUAAGCGCAGCGAUGCGUUGAGCUAACCGGUACUAAUGAACCGUGAGGCUUAACCU